AAGUCGUAACAAGGUCUCCGUAGGUGAACCUGCGGAGGGAUCAUUACACAAAUAUGAAGGCAGAUUGGGUAGUCCCCGCUUUGGGGGGUUUGCCCAUUCUGGCGCCAUAUUCACCCAUGUCUUUUGCGUACUACUUGUUUCCUUGGCGGGCUCGCCCGCCAAUUGGACUUUAUUCAAACCUUUUUUUAUUGCAAUCAGCGUCAGCAAAACAAUGUAAUCAAUUACAACUUUCAACAACGGAUCUCUUGGUUCUGGCAUCGAUGAAGAACGCAGCGAAAUGCGAUAAGUAGUGUGAAUUGCAGAAUUCAGUGAAUCAUCGAAUCUUUGAACGCACAUUGCGCCCUUUGGUAUUCCAAAGGGCAUGCCUGUUCGAGCGUCAUUUGUACCCUCAAGCUUUGCUUGGUGUUGGGCGUCUUUUGUCUCUCCCCCGAGACUCGCCUUAAAAACAUUGGCAGCCGGCCUACUGGUUUCGGAGCGCAGCACAUUAUUUGCGCUCUUGUCCAGCCGCGGUCGCGCGUCCAUGAAGCCUUUUUUUUCAACCUUUUGACCUCGGAUCAGGUAGGGAUACCCGCUGAACUUAA
rnacentral:rRNA from 1 species